GGGUUUAUAAAACCUUUAUUAUAUAUUCUAUAUAUAAUUACAAUGCAUAUUGCUUUUAUUAAUAGAAAGCGUUAAAAUAAUUUGCUCAACUUUGCCAGUAUAGCAAUUAAAGCGUUCGUUUCCAAAUUUCAUUGUGUCAAUUAAACAGGCUAACACGUAAAACGUGCAGAAUAUUGGCUCGUGCGUGUUCCAAAUGAUGGUAGCAUGCGAAUGCCGAAUGAAUACGUGUUAAAAAGUCUUGUAAAAACUCCAGAAUGAAUACUAUAUGUACAGUCUAUUAUAAAGAGCGGGUUAAACGUCGCUUGAAUGUUAUAUGUAA
rnacentral:lncRNA from 1 species